GUCCCAGACUCCUACGGGAGGCAGCAGUGGGGAAUAUUGGGCAAUGGGCGCAAGCCUGACCCAGCAACGCCGCGUGAAGGAAGAAGGCUUUCGGGUUGUAAACUUCUUUUAAGAGGGAAGAGUAGAAGACGGUACCUCUUGAAUAAGCCACGGCUAACUACGUGCCAGCAGCCGCGGUAAUACGUAGGUGGCAAGCGUUGUCCGGAUUUACCGGGUGUAAAGGGCGUGUAGCCGGGUUGACAAGUCAGAUGUGAAAUCCUGCGGCUUAACCGCAGAACUGCAUUUGAAACUGUUGAUCUUGAGUACUGGAGAGGCAGACGGAAUUCCUAGUGUAGCGGUGAAAUGCGUAGAUAUAGGGAAGAACACCAGUGGCGAAGGCGGAUGACUGGACGGCAACUGACGGUGAGGCGCGAAAGCGUGGGGAGCAAACAGGAUUAGAUACCCCUGUAU
rnacentral:rRNA from 1 species